UACACGCAUUAGGGGUGCUCUAAAAAAGCUGAGAGUACAUAAAGUACAACCCUUUGAACCUGACUCUUGUUAAACACAAACGUAGGAAAAUGUAUGUAUGUAAAU
rnacentral:ncRNA from 2 species